UAGGUUUAACCAUGUAAAGGUGUACCAUAUUCGUCACUUGGGAUAUUUCUGAACUGAACAUAUUCUUUUUGUUUCUUUUUAUAUAGCCAUUUAUUCUUGAAUUAAACAUAACAUGAAGUUAGGGAUAAGUACAUUCAUAAAUCCAAAUUCCCAUUGAAAUUUCUCCUAAAAUAUGAAUCACAGUUGACAUCAGCAAAGGACAUAGGGAUCUAACAAUUCAAGGAAAUU
rnacentral:lncRNA from 1 species